GAUGAACGCUGGCGGCGUGCCUAAUACAUGCCAGUCGAGCGAACAGACGAGGAGCUUGCUCCUCUGACGUUAGCGGCGGACGGGUGAGUAACACGUGGAUAACCUACCUAUAAGACUGGGAUAACUUCGGGAAACCGGAGCUAAUACCGGAUAAUAUAUUGAACCGCAUGGUUCAAUAGUGAAAGACGGUUUUGCUGUCACUUAUAGAGGGAUCCGCGCCGCAUUAGCUAGUUGGUAAGGUAACGGCUUACCAAGGCAACGAUGCGUAGCCGACCUGAGAGGGUGAUCGGCCACACUGGAACUGAGACACGGUCCAGACUCCUACGGGAGGCAGCAGUAGGGAAUCUUCCGCAAUGGGCGAAAGCCUGACGGAGCAACGCCGCGUGAGUGAUGAAGGUCUUCGGAUCGUAAAACUCUGUUAUUAGGGAAGAACAAAUGUGUAAGUAACUAUGCACGUCUUGACGGUACCUAAUCAGAAAGCCACGGCUAACUACGUG
rnacentral:rRNA from 1 species